rnacentral:lncRNA from 1 species
AAAAAAACUGUUUGAUUAUUGAUAUGUGUGAACAUCUGAAUAACAAAUUUUUAUUAUUUUACUCCUCUAAAAAAAUUCAAAAUUAUUGUACAUUUAUUUAAUAUUUCUUAAUAUAAUAAUUAAUAUUGAAAAAAAAAUAUAAAAUACUUCAUUCAAAAAAAAAUAUACUUGACCAUUCAGCCCAAAAAUCUCACCGAUUCAGCCAUUUAGACGAUUUUUAUUUAAAACAAACGCACUGAAUACAUAGCUAACUGAUUCAACCAUUCAGCUCUAAACAAACACCCCCUUAUAAGGUUUCUGAUCACUAAUUAGUGAUCAGAAAAGCUCUUUCCAAUUUACAUUGCCUACAUAUAUACAUAUAUAUAUAUGAUGCAGAAAGGUUUCUGGCCGAAGUUCCUAGAAGGUCGGGUAGUACGAUGACGAUGCUAAAGGACCAAAAGUUAAGGGAUCGACGCCAAAGUAUCGGUUGACUUCGGGGUCAAGCGUUCGGUUCGUGUCUUCGGGGUUAGAGUUCGACUUCAGAUGGCGUCAUGACUUCAGGUGUGUGGCGAACGUCUUCCGAAGAGACGUCAUAACUUCAGAAGUCGAU